UGCAAGUCGAGCGAGACUAGUAGCAAUAUUAGUCUAGCGGCAGACGAGUGAGUAACACGUAAACAAUCUACCCUUGAAUGGUGAAUAACGGUUCGAAAGGAUCGCUAAUACACCGUACUCUCCCCGGAAGGCAUCUUUCGGGGAGGAGAGAUCCGCAAGGAUCGUUCUUGGAGGAGUUUGCGGCCCAUCAGCUAGUUGGCGGUGUAAUAGACCACCAAGGCUACGACGGGUACCCGGCCUGAAAGGGCGGACGGGCACGAUGGCACUGAGACACGGGCCAUACUCCUACGGGAGGCAGCAGUGGGGAAUUUUGGACAAUGGGCGAAAGCCUGAUCCAGCAACUCUGCGUGAGGGACGAAGGCCUUCGGGUCGUAAACCUCUUUUACAUGGGAAGAAUACCAGCAAUGGUUCGACGGUACCAUGUGAAUAAGCCACGGCUAACUAUGUGCCAGCA
rnacentral:rRNA from 1 species